AGGGGACUAAAGGGCGGGGGACAGGGAAGCCGGCUUGGCUUGGAGAGAGCUUCGGGUGCAGGCGAUGAGAAAGUGUACCUAAGAGGUCAUUAGGUUCUGCUAUGGGAGCCCGGACUCCAGGAUUUCUUGGCUAGGGCUGUGACCUUGGGCUGUCACAAGGAUUCAAAGGUCUGGGACACAUGAAAGUGUUGGAGAUCCUAAUUACAUUUGCAAGGAUUCAGCUUGGACGCGUGUUAAUCCCGGAGUAGCCUCAGUCUCCUUCAAUCUCGUGACAGACCCUCAGCCUCUUCUUGUCUUUUAAAACCUUUCUACUCCAUAAACACUGGUCAAAUACAUUGUGAAACACGUGUGCAGUUUCUGAUCAUUAGUUUACAGUUAUUCAGUUGGGAAAGACUGUCAGAGAUUGACAGAUGAUGAUCUGACCUCAUCACUACUCGGAGAUCGCAUGUUAUCGAUCAGU
rnacentral:lncRNA from 1 species